CAGGACGAACGCUGGCGGCGUGCCUAAUACAUGCAAGUCGAGCGGACAGAUGGGAGCUUGCUCCCUGAUGUUAGCGGCGGACGGGUGAGUAACACGUGGGUAACCUGCCUGUAAGACUGGGAUAACUCCGGGAAACCGGGGCUAAUACCGGAUGGUUGUCUGGACCGCAUGGUUCAGACAUAAAAGGUGGCUUCGGCUACCACUUACAGAUGGACCCGCGGCGCAUUAGCUAGUUGGUGAGGUAACGGCUCACCAAGGCGACGAUGCGUAGCCGACCUGAGAGGGUGAUCGGCCACACUGGGACUGAGACACGGCCCAGACUCCUACGGGAGGCAGCAGUAGGGAAUCUUCCGCAAUGGACGAAAGUCUGACGGAGCAACGCCGCGUGAGUGAUGAAGGUUUUCGGAUCGUAAAGCUCUGUUGUUAGGGAAGAACAAGUGCCGUUCAAAUAGGGCGGCACCUUGACGGUACCUAACCAGAAAGCCACGGCUAACUACGUGCCAGCAGCCGCGGUAAUACGUAGGUGGCAAGCGUUGUCCGGAAUUAUUGGGCGUAAAGGGCUCGCAGGCGGUUUCUUAAGUCUGAUGUGAAAGCCCCCGGCUCAACCGGGGAGGGUCAUUGGAAACUGGGGAACUUGAGUGCAGAAGAGGAGAGUGGAAUUCCACGUGUAGCGGUGAAAUGCGUAGAGAUGUGGAGGAACACCAGUGGCGAAGGCGACUCUCUGGUCUGUAACUGACGCUGAGGAGCGAAAGCGUGGGGAGCGAACAGGAUUAGAUACCCUGGUAGUCCACGCCGUAAACGAUGAGUGCUAAGUGUUAGGGGGUUUCCGCCCCUUAGUGCUGCAGCUAACGCAUUAAGCACUCCGCCUGGGGAGUACGGUCGCAAGACUGAAACUCAAAGGAAUUGACGGGGGCCCGCACAAGCGGUGGAGCAUGUGGUUUAAUUCGAAGCAACGCGAAGAACCUUACCAGGUCUUGACAUCCUCUGACAAUCCUAGAGAUAGGGCUUGCCCUUUGGGAGCAGAGUGACAGGUGGUGCAUGGUUGUCGUCAGCUCGUGUCGUGAGAUGUUGGGUUUAGUCCCGCAACGAGCGCAACCCUUGAUCUUAGUUGCCAUCAUUCAGUUGGGCACUCUAAGGUGACUGCCGGUGACAAACCGGAAGAAGGUGGGGAUGACGUCAAAUCAUCAUUCCCCUUAUGACCUGGGCCACACACGUGCUACAAUGGACAGAACAAAGGGCAGCGAAACCGCGAGGUUGAGCCAAUCCCACAAAUCUGUUCUCAGUUCGGAUUGCAGUCUGCAACUUGGCUGCGUGAAGCUGGAAUCGCUUGUAAUCGCGGAUCAGCAUGCCGCGGUGAAUAUGUUCCCCGGCCUUGUACAGACCUCCCGUUCUCCCACGAGAGUUUGUCACACCCGAAAUAGGUGAGGUACCUUUUAGGACCAGACGAAGAAGGUAGGAC
rnacentral:rRNA from 1 species